rnacentral:rRNA from 1 species
CGUAAGGACCGAGCGUUGUCCGGAAUCAUUGGGCGUAAAGGGUACGUAGGCGGCCACUUAAGUUAGAAGUCAAAGGCUAUAGCUCAACUAUAGUAAGCUUCUAAAACUGUGUGGCUUGAGAGAUGGAAGGGAAGUGGAAUUCCUAGUGUAGCGGUGAAAUGCGCAGAUAUUAGGAGGAAUACCGGUGGCGAAGGCGACUUUCUGGCCAUUAUCUGACGCUGAGGUACGAAAGCGUGGUAGCAAACAGGAUU